UGCCUGAUGGCUGAGUACAAGCGAUAGACUGUAGAUCUAUUAACGAAAUAAAUUUUUCUCGGGUUA
rnacentral:tRNA from 1 species